rnacentral:rRNA from 1 species
UACAGAGGGUGCGAGCGUUGUCCGGAAUCACUGGGCGUAAAGGGCGCGUAGGCGGCUUGAUAAGGUUGCGGUGAAAGCCCGGGGCUCAACCCCGGGUCGGCCGUGGCAACUGUCGAGCUGGAGCACUGUAGAGGCAGGUGGAAUUCCGGGUGUAGCGGUGGAAUGCGUAGAUAUCGGAAGGAACACCAGUGGCGAAAGCGGCUUCCUGGUCCAGCACCGACGUUCAGGCACGAGAGCGUGGGGAGCAAACAGG